rnacentral:rRNA from 1 species
AAUAUUGCACAAUGGGCGCAAGCCUGAUGCAGCGACGCCGCGUGAGCGAAGAAGGUUUUCGGAUCGUAAAGCUCUGUCCUCUGGGAAGAAAAAAAUGACGGUCCCAGAGGAGGAAGCCCCGGCUAACUACGUGCCUGCAGCCGCGGUAAUACGUAGGUGGCGCGCGUUAUCCGGAAUUACUGGGUGUAAAGGGUGCAUAGGCGGAAAGAUAAGUCAAGUGUGUAAUCUAUCGGCUCAACUGAUAGGCUGCGCUUGAAACUAUUUUUCUUGAGUGAAGUAGAGGUAGGCGGAAUUCCUGGUGUAGCGGUAAAAUGCGUAGAUAUCAGGAGGAACACCAGUGGCGAAGGCGGCCUACUGGGCUUUAACUGACGCUGAGGCACGAAAGCAUGGGGAGCAAACAGG